CUCAUUUUACCCACCUAAAAAUAAACUUUAAUCCAAGUUCAAUGUUAAAUCCGAUGGUUUUGAGUGGAUUGCAAAAUAAUCUUAUCGUGUGUCACAUUUAUCGAUUCAAAGCUAUCGCUUUUUAAUUGCUUAUCAAUGACGAAUUUGUGAAAUCGCCUUUAAAUUUAUUAGUCUUCAAAUUGUGUACGAUUGAAUCCAACGUGAUUCCAUCCAUUUUGUCGCUAGACUGUAAAUAAUUUUAUGUAACUGAAAUUGAUUUAAAAUGGAAAACACCAAUCAAAACGUCUACAGAGAACUUGAUGAAAAUGUUAAAUCGUUUGAAGAGAGUUCUUCGAAAUCGUAUGGUAAAAUAGUGGGCUUUGUUGGAAUUCUAUUCAACAUAUUUGUCUUAAUUAUUCUUUUUACCUAUGGAGCCACCAUCUGGGGUGUCAUAUUCAGUGUUAGUUUUUGGAUUUUCGCCGCAAGUUGUGUAUUGUCGGUCGUUUGGAUCUUUGCAAUAGUUUUUAACAUAUUCUGGUGUAUGGUGAUGACACUCGUUUUUUAUAUCAUUCAAUUCUGUUAUUGCAUUUAUUUAGCGGUUGUUUACGUGUUGGCUAUAAUAGCCGGCGGUGUUGGUAUCGGUGAUGGUGCGUUGCUCAUAUUUAUAUUUGUUUUGGGUCUUUCUGCGACAGGUCUCAGGUGAGUUCGCUAUUCUUAACUGCUUCGUAAGUUGGUUUUUCUUGCUGACUCGAAUGUCGUCCCGCACAAUUUUUCUCCUUUUAGUGGCGUUUAUUUCUAUUAUGCUGUCAAAAGCUUCGUCAAAAUCAGUUUUACGAAGAAGGAGACUAGGAUGAAAGUAUCUUAUACGGUGGCUUCGGCCCAACAUCCCGGACAAACCGACCACUAUACAUUCGAAGAAAUAGCCGAAACGAUAUGAGAUUUUAAGCAACAGCCGUAGCACAGCUGUAUUCACGUACAUCACAUGCCUUUAAAAGGCGACUGAAAUCAGUUGAUUUCUUCACAAAUGAAUGAAAACCCAUUUCAAAUAUGCAAAGUAUGAAUAAACAAAGCGUGUUAUACGAUAAGAAAAUACUACUGUUUAAGUGAAUGUUAUCGUGACAAUAGUGAAGAUAUAAGAUAUAAGCCUAUAUGAUAAAUUGCUUCAUAACAUCUUUGCGCGCAGUAUUGCUGCAGCUGUUGACGAAUAGACACGAGGAUUGUAGUUCAAGUGUUUGAAAUUCGAACUUUGAAUGUAUAUUUUGAAAUUUAUUUGAAUAAAUUCGAUUUUAUUUAAAGAAUUAAAGAAAAAGAACGAAAAUUUCAAGCGUUUUUUUUUUCAUUAUUUGGGUUUUUUAAACACCACAUCUUUUGAGCCCAGUUUUGAAGUCUAUUUUUGCAGUUGGGAGAUCGCUUCACUGCGUUUGAGAAGUGAAUCCAGCGGUUUAUCUUAUCAAUGAUACUAUUAUCUUCGCGUCUGAUGUUCAAUUUCUUAUCUUCAGUAGUCAAAAUUUAAAAGUGUCUACAAAACAAAAAACAACUCGCGCGCUCCCUUAUUUACAAGUGUUAUUUUGCAAUGGCAAAGGCUAGUGAGUGGAAGUUUUCAAAGAGAUUGGAUGGCUUGGGAUUGCAUUGAAUGCAUUUUGUUUAUUCUUAUUCCGAGGGAUUACAGACAACAUCUUGGCUUAUGCUACAAUCUGCACGUUUGUGCUAAAUAUUGCAGCAAGUAUAACUUGGUUACUAGGAAUCGCUUUGAAUAAACCUGAUCUUAUGGCCAGUGCAUUAGUUUGCUGGGGUGGCGUUCUUUUCAUUUGGAUCAGCUUCAUAAUCAUUCUUGCUGUGCCUGGGCUCAUUUUCGGGAAUGAAUAUGCUCGCGAGACUGUUCUUUCGAUCCUUUCGAUCGGAUUUUUCUUGAUAAUUUUCACCGUCAUCUACUUUUAUUAUGCUGUAAAGAGUUAUAAAAAGCUAAAGGAGGUUAUUGAAAGAAAACGAUUAAAUGUUGCGUACACAGUGACAUCCACUGAAAAUAAUGAGAUUAAUAUCAAUUAUCGGGAUCUUGAAUUGGACCAAAGUGAAUGAGACGAGCGAGUUAUUUUCAUUUAUUCAAUGGCUUAAUGGAUAAGGACACUGGAUAGUCACAAUGUUAUAAACAACAAGCAAUUCUUUUAAGCAUUGAACGAUUUAGUGGUGUCAAUGAUAAUACGCACACAAAAAUAUUUGUGCAUAGAUUAAAAUAAAUGUGUAAGGAAUCUCAAGAUACAAACUCACGAAAUGGUAUUUAAAAGAAAUAAAUUGCUGAAUAAUGUUUGUUUCCUGAAGAAGAAGAAACGCAAUGGUUUUUUUUUCCCUUUAAGGUUGUUGGUUAUAAUUUGAAGUUUUAAAUA